GCAGUUUUCAUUCACCUUACCCUGGCCAAGUUCCCCCAAACGAGCUCACAACCACUCGUGUUAACCCUAUCCCUCGUGUCUUCCCGGAUUUCCUCCGCCGCCGUCCUCGGGUCUCCUACCUCAGCCUCAUCCCCGCUGCUACCGGAGCCCAUAGCCCCGAACUCCCAGCCCCCUCUUUCGCCUCGCUUCCCCGCCCCCUUCGCUGCCACCACCUCAAUCACCAGUGGGCCAUGAUGCAAGUUACAAGCCGCCGUCUGCCUACUCGCCUCCGGCGGCCGUAGCCUGCAUUGCCCGAGCAAGGCACCCUCUGGAUCCCCCUCUCCUCUACCGCGGGACCUCAACCACCAGUGCAGCAGGACCAUCUCCACCCCUGUGCAUCACGAUUUUGCAGCUCUCCCUCGUCCACGAUUGGAUCUCCUCACCACCAUCACACCUUUCUACAUCAGCAAUAGAGGUGCGCCCAACUUCCUCUACCAGACCCGGAGCUGUGCCACUCUUCCUCCAAAAGCACCGGAGCCACACAUCUGCACACCAUCACGACGGCGCUGACGGUUAGUGUUGCUCGCCGCCGUCACCAUUCCUACAGUAAUAGAGGAGCUGAUCCAUCCUUUGCUUCCUACCUCGACGAGCGGCAGCGGUUAGAGGCACGCCAUCCCUUCUCUUUUAGCAAUACAACAUCUUGGCGUAGUGGUGUUGUUUAUUUGUCGCUCUACUCCUUUGUUAAUAUGUUAAACUGCAGUUAUUGUUAUUUCUUUAGUCGAUAAAAAUCAGUGCCAGCUACUGUCAGUUAUUCAGUCCAUAAUUAUGGUUCCAAGCAAGUUUUCAUUGUUAAUAAUUGUAGUUGUAAGCAAGUUUUCAGUUCUUUGAUCAAUAAUUGUACUAUCUUAUUGAACAAACUGCAGCUACUGCCUACUAGAGUACUAGUGUGAGUGUCUAUUGUCUAGCACUAUUGGUGUCUAGUAGUGAUAAAAUUCUAUAUUUUUUAGAUUGUCUGAAGUGGUAGUAGACUAGUACAUAAUCAUGGUUGCUCUUGUACAAAAUGAACUAAAGAAUCAUGAACAAAAUUAGUUGCCCUUUUCUUUUAUUCUGUAGAACUAAGCUUAUCUGUGUAUUCUGGACCCUUUGAUGCACUGAUGUCGAUAAGCUAUAUCCUGAAUAUUGAUUUAAAAUAGUAUAAAAUGAUUUAAUCUUAGUAGCAGAUCUAGAUAUUUGAUUGGAUAUUUUGCUAUUAAUAUAUACUGCUACCUUUUUGAUCUGUUUGUUCAUGUACUACUAUACUUUGCAUUUAUCAGUUUGUUUUAUACUGGUUUCAAAUUUGGGUGAAUGGGUUGUUGUCAUCGUGAUGCAACAAAGGAAUAAGCAUUGGCCACUAGGUGGAUAUGGAAGGCUGGAGAUGGAUGCUAUGACGAUGGUGACAUAAUUUGGAGCUUGAUAUUUACAUGGACGUCGAGUAUGAUAGGAGAGAUUAAUGUUCCAGUCUUCAUCAGUAGCACCCAUGAAUCCUAAGAUCGAUCGGACAUUAUUUCUUGAUUAUUUUCCUGGGAGGAAUCCUAAGAUUAAUUGUUUCUUUAUUUUUUACCAACAUUUAAUGGUUUCGUAUCUUAUGCCUUUCAUCUAACUUUGCCUGCCAUUUAUAUCUACUCCAAGCAUACCAUAUUCAGAACUGAUAUACAACAUAUAGUCAGAUUAGUUCUGAUUUUGCCAUGACAAUAUCACCAGUAUUAUUCAUGAUUCCUCUACUAGCAUUAAAUUUUCCUUUUUCCAACUGAAAUUUGAAAAGAGCAUUAGUUUAAUUUUUUGAUAGGAUCUCGGAUAUCCUUCACGUGAUUUUACCCCUCUUUUAUGUACGGUACUUUCACAUGGUCGUCGUCGGUUCGGUGCUUUUACCCCCUCCUUCACUUACGUAAGCAACCAUCCCUGCCUCUCUUUACUCAUGCUUGUGCUCAGUAUAAAGGUUUGUGUGAAGGUUGGCUUUGUGCUCAGUUUAUAACAUUUCUCCAUGGUCUGUAGCUACUACUUCACUAUAAUUCUAGAAUAGGAUAAUAAGGGAAAGUACUACACUCUAUUUUAGUUGUGCUCUCUAACACCAAAAUGUUUAGGCCAAUAGUUUCGUAUAGUAGUAUUAAAAAUGCAUAUAUAUAUUCAUUCUAUGUGUAGGUAGGCUAUCACCCUAGGACCAAUCAUCUGUUGUUUUAUUUGGUUACGAGAAACAUAUUGCUAUCUAACACCAUGCAAGGACUUGUAUCAUUCUAUUUUGUAAAAGUAUGUAUCAUGCACUCUUUUUCAGAAUUAUAAGAAACUUUUGAUUUUUAAUGUUGAUACCAUGCUAGAGGUAGCUUAUAAUUUCAUCUUCAUCUACUAUGGCUGCAUGUAUAUUGUGAGCGCAUCAUGGUGAUAUGCAAAACCACCAUGGAAGAACAACAACUCCUAAGAGGAGCUAUUAUGUGCCGCUCCUUUGGACAAAACACCUCGCCCUUGCCAUGGACCAUAUCCAUGAAGGAAUGUCUACAAGGAAAAGAAGUUAUUAUCUUUAGUUUCAUAAAAUAAUGACAAAAAGCAUGAAGGUUUGAAGCGAAACAUUAUCUGAUGAAGAGAACGCUGAUAAAGCAUGAUGGUUGGAAGCAAACCAACGGCCAAGAGAAAAUCAUCUAGAGUGCUGAAAAAAAUAAGGUACUCCACCAACUUUUUCUCUAACCGUUUAGCUAGACAGUGUACUAUGCUAACAUAUUGUACUUUUUCACAACAAUUAACAAAUGGUAUUUUUUGUGACUCGUGUGUUUGGGAGAUUGUUAAGAUGGUUAAGAUUAUGCUUUGUCAAGAUUGAUGUGUUUCUCAACAUGGGUUCAAUGUAUCUGCAUGUUUGUGAACAUAUUUUCAUUGUUGUACAAUAUGUGUUCAUCUUGAA